AUUGAACGCUGGCGGCAUGCCUUACACAUGCAAGUCGAACGGCAGCGGGGACUUCGGUCCGCCGGCGAGUGGCGAACGGGUGAGUAAUGUAUCGGAACGUACCAUUGAGUGGGGGAUAACGUAGCGAAAGUUACGCUAAUACCGCAUAUUCUCUCCGGAGGAAAGCAGGGGACCGCAAGGCCUUGCGCUCUUUGAGCGGCCGAUAUCAGAUUAGCUAGUUGGUGGGGUAAAAGCUCACCAAGGCGACGAUCUGUAGCGGGUCUGAGAGGAUGAUCCGCCACACUGGAACUGAGACACGGUCCAGACUCCUACGGGAGGCAGCAGUGGGGAAUUUUGGACAAUGGGGGCAACCCUGAUCCAGCCAUGCCGCGUGAGUGAAGAAGGCCUUCGGGUUGUAAACUGCUUUUGUACGGAACGAAAAGGUUUGGGCUAAUAAGCUGAGCUCAUGACGGUACCGUAAGAAUAAGCACCGGCUAACUACGUGCCAGCCGCCGCGGUAA
rnacentral:rRNA from 1 species